rfam:Anopheles culicifacies strain species A-37_1 cont1.4513, whole genome shotgun sequence.
ACAACAUGGCUAUCGGCGAUUAUCCUGCGGAAUAUAAUCCGAAGGUUCACGGACCAUACGAUCCUGCACGCUUUUAUGGAAAGCCCGAUACCCCGUU